CUUCCCGUAGCACCUUAGAGACCAACUAAGUUUGUUGUUGGUAUGAGCUUUCGUGUGCAUGUUCAUACCAAGAACAAACUUAGCUGGUCUCUAAGGUGCUACUGGAAG